rnacentral:tRNA from 1 species
AUCUUUCUAGUAACAAAACAGUAUGGGUGGCUUCCAACCACCCGGUCUUGGCGCAAUUCCAAGGAAAGAUA